rnacentral:rRNA from 1 species
CCUGAUCCAGCCAUGCCGCGUGUGUGAAGAAGGCCUUUUGGUUGUAAAGCACUUUAAGCAGUGAAGAAGACCUAACGGUUAAUACCCGUUAGCGAUGACAUUAGCUGCAGAAUAAGCACCGGCUAACUCUGUGCCAGCAGCCGCGGUAAUACAGAGGGUGCAAGCGUUAAUCGGAAUUACUGGGCGUAAAGCGAGCGUAGGUGGCUUGAUAAGUCAGAUGUGAAAUCCCCGGGCUUAACCUGGGAACUGCAUCUGAUACUGUCAGGCUAGAAUAGGUGAGAGGAAGGUAGAAUUCCAGGUGUAGCGGUGAAAUGCGUAGAGAUCUGGAGGAAUACCGAUGGCGAAGGCAGCCUUCUGGCAUCAUAUUGACACUGAGGUUCGAAAGCGUGGGUAGCAAACAGGAUUAGAUACCCUGGUAGUCCACGCCGUAAACGAUGUCUACUAGUCGUUGGGUCCCUUGAGGACUUAGUGACGCAGCUAACGCAAUAAGUAGACCGCCUGGGGAGUACGGCCGCAAGGUUAAAACUCAAAUGAAUUGACGGGGGCCCGCACAAGCGGUGGAGCAUGUGGUUUAAUUCGAUGCAACGCGAAGAACCUUACCUGGUCUUGACAUAUCUAGAAUCCUGCAGAGAUGCGGGAGUGCCUUCGGGAAUUAGAAUACAGGUGCUGCAUGGCUGUCGUCAGCUCGUGUCGUGAGAUGUUGGGUUAAGUCCCGCAACGAGCGCAACCCUUGUC